CCUACGGGGGGCAGCAGUAGGGAAUAUUGCUCAAUGGGGGAAACCCUGAAGCAGCAACGCCGCGUGGAGGAUGAAGGUUUUCGGAGUGGAAACUCCUUUUGAUAGAGAAGAAAAAGACGGUAGCUAACGAAUAAGCACCGGCUAACACCGUGCCAGCAGCCGCGGUAAUCCGGAGGGUGCAAGCGUUACUCGGAAUCCCUGGGCGUAAAGAGCGCGUAGGCGGGAUAGCAAGUCAGAUGUGAAAUCCUAUGGCUUAACCAUAGAACUGCAGGUGAAACGGUUAUUCUAGAGUAUGGGUGAGGUAGGUUGACUUCUUGGUGUAGGUGUCACCUCCUUCGAUAUCCCG
rnacentral:rRNA from 1 species